AGUGAACGCUGGCGGUAGGCCUAACACAUGCAAGUCGAACGGAAGCACAGUAAGAGCUUGUUCUUACGGGUGGCGACUGGCGGAUGGGUGCGGAAUACAUCCGAAUCUACUUUUUCGUGGGGGAUAACGUAGGGAAACUUACGCUAAUACCGCAUACGACCUACGGGUGAAAGCAGGGGAUCUUCGGACCUUGCGCGAUUGAAUGAGCCUAUGUCGGAUUAGUGAGUUGGCGGGGUAAAGGCCCACCAAGGCGACGAUCCGUAGCUGGUCUGAGAGGAUGAUCAGCCACACUGGAACUGAGACACGGUCCAGACUCCUACGGGAGGCAGCAGUGGGGAAUAUUGGACAAUGGGCGCAAGCCUGAUCCAGCCAUACCGCGUGGGUGAAGAAGGCCUUCGGGUUGUAAAGCCCUUUUGUUGGGAAAGAAAGGCAGCAGGUUAAUACCCCGCUGUUCUGACGGUACCCAAAGAAUAAGCACCGGCUAACUUCGUG
rnacentral:rRNA from 1 species